CGAUAUCGGACGAGUUUGAUCAUGGCUCAGGAUGAACGCUGGCGGCGUGCCUAAUACAUGCAAGUCGAACGAGGUGCUUUUGUAGCAAUACGAGAGUAUCCUAGUGGCGAACGGGUGAGUAACGCGUGGAUGACCUGCCCCAAAGUGUGGGAUAACAGUCCGAAAGGAUUGCUAAUACCUCAUGUGGUUAUCGGUUUUAGAAAGCGAUAACUAAAGCAGCAAUGCGCUUUGGGAGGGAUCUGCGUCCCAUCAGCUAGUUGGUGAGGUAACGGCUCACCAAGGCGACGACGGGUAGGGGACCUGAGAGGGUGGCCCCCCACAAUGGAACUGAAACACGGUCCAUACACCUACGGGUGGCAGCAGUAGGGAAUAUUGCUCAAUGGGCGAAAGCCUGAAGCAGCAACGCCGCGUGUGCGAUGAAGGCCUUCGGGUCGUAAAGCACUUUUCUAAGAGAUGAGAAAGGACAGUAUCUUAGGAAUAAGUCUCGGCUAACUACGUG
rnacentral:rRNA from 1 species